CCUACGGGUGGCAGCAGUAGGGAAUAUUGCUCAAUGGGGGCAACCCUGAAGCAGCAACGCCGCGUGAAGGAUGAAGGUUUUAGGAUUGUAAACUCCUUUUGUUAGAGAAGUUUAUGACGGUAUCUAACGAAUAAGCACCGGCUAACUCCGUGCCAGCAGCCGCGGUAAUGUGGAGGGUGCAAGCGUUAUUCGGAAUAACUGGGCGUAAAGAGUGCGUAGGCGGGGUAAUAAGUCAGAUGUGAAAUCUUGUAGCUUAACUAUAGAAUUGAAGUUGAAACUGUUACUCUGGAGUGUGGGAGAGGUAGGAGGAAUUCUUGGUGUAGGGGUGAAAUGCGUAGAUAUCAAGAGGAAUACUGAUUGUGAAGGCGGCCUGCUGGACCGUUACUGACGCUGAUGCUCGAAAGUGUGGGGAGCAAACAGGAUUAGAUACCCCAGUAGUC
rnacentral:rRNA from 1 species